GUGCUCGCCUCGGCAGCACAUCUACCGGAACUGGAACGGUAAGAGAAGAUGAGCACGGCCCUGCGCAGGGAUGACACGCAAAUUCGCGAAGCGUUCCAUAUUAAA